rnacentral:rRNA from 1 species
UACGAAGGGUGCAAGCGUUACUCGGAAUUACUGGGCGUAGAGCGUGCGUAGGUGGUUUGUUAAGUCUGAUGUGAAAGCCCUGGGCUCAACCUGGGAAUUGCACUGGAUACUGGCAGGCUAGAGUGCGGUAGAGGAUGGCGGAAUUCCCGGUGUAGCAGUGAAAUGCGUAGAGAUCGGGAGGAACAUCUGUGGCGAAGGCGGCCAUCUGGACCAGCACUGACACUGAGGCACGAAAGCGUGGGGAGCAAACAGG